rnacentral:rRNA from 1 species
UACGUAGGGUGCAAGCGUUGUCCGGAAUUAUUGGGCGUAAAGAGCUCGUAGGCGGUUUGUCGCGUCUGCUGUGAAAACCCGAGGCUCAACCUCGGGCCUGCAGUGGGUACGGGCAGACUAGAGUGCGGUAGGGGAGAUUGGAAUUCCUGGUGUAGCGGUGGAAUGCGCAGAUAUCAGGAGGAACACCAAUGGCGAAGGCAGAUCUCUGGGCCGUAACUGACGCUGAGGAGCGCAAGCAUGGGGAGCGAACAGG